UACGUAGGGCGCAAGCGUUGUCCGGAAUUAUUGGGCGUAAAGAGCUCGUAGGCGGCCAGUUGCGUCUGCUGUGAAAUCCCGGGGCUCAACCCCGGGCGUGCAGUGGAUACGGGCUGGCUAGAGGCAGGCAGGGGAGAACGGAAUUCCUGGUGUAGCGGUGAAAUGCGUAGAUAUCAGGAGGAACACCUGUGGCGAAAGCGGCGCACUGGACCACAACUGACGCUGAGGCGCGAAAGCUAGGGGAGCAAACAGG
rnacentral:rRNA from 1 species